UACGUAGGGUGCGAGCGUUAAUCGGAAUUACUGGGCGUAAAGCGUGCGCAGGCGGUUCGUUGUGUCGGCGGUGAAAUCCCCGGGCUCAACCUGGGAAUGGCCGUUGAAACUGGCGAACUGGAGUGUGGCAGAGGGGGGUGGAAUUCCGCGCGUAGCAGUGAAAUGCGUAGAGAUGCGGAGGAACACCGAUGGCGAAGGCAGCCCCCUGGGCUGACACUGACGCUCAGGCACGAAAGCGUGGGGAGCAAACAGG
rnacentral:rRNA from 1 species